rnacentral:lncRNA from 1 species
GGCUGAGAGUGCAGAUGGGAGGGCGCGGAAGACCUCAGCAGUCGGGCGAAUCACGCAGGGGCAGCCAGUGCACAGGCGUGGGGUGGGGAAGGGGCGGUGGCCUGCGGGGCAGUCGGUAACCCGGCCGUGGCCAGCACGGAGACCUGGAACCUUAUAGGAGAGCUGGGUUGUGGGGGCCCUGGGGCCUGGGCCGGGGAAGGCUGAGCGAGACUGGCUCUCGAUCGGUCGUCUGAGAGCAGCAGUCGGAGGCCAGCUGGCUCCUGGGACCGGAGCCAAGGGGAGGAGUGGCCUGGACCACAUGUGGACAGGGCCCAGGACGGGGCUGUGAGGGGAUGUGGCACCAGGAACCCAUCGAGGCUGGUGGGAGGGUCCCAGGAUGGAAAGGCAGCCGAGAGGGACACCGGGAGGGCCCUGGGGCGGGGAAGGGUCUCGGGACUGGAGGCUGGGACACGCCUCCGGGCUCCUCGAGGGCCAAUCUGCUGGCGCAGGGACCCGGCGGCCUCCUGACCUGUGGUCUGAGCAAGGAGGACAGGAAGAAAUGGGGUUGGGUAAACAAAACGUGGUCCGUCCGCUCCCUGGACUGUCGCUCAGCCCUGACGAGGAUGGACGCUCUGCCACCUGCCACCACGUGGAUGGACCCGGGGGACGUGAUGCUCACCUGUGAUCCCCUCACACGAGGCCCCUGGAGUCUCCAGAUUCCCAGAGACUGAGAGCGGACGGUGGGCGCCGGGGCUGGGGGAGGGGCCGGGGGUCUGUGUUUCACGGGGACAGAGCUUCCGUUUGGGGAGAUGGAAAAUUCUGGAGACGGAGGGUAGGGAUAGCCGCACAACGGCGUGAACGUGCUCAGUGCCCCUGAGCUGCGCGCUUAGAGUCGGUUGACGGCACAUUUUAGGUGUGUUUUUCUGUGAUAAAAAAUAUCAAGGUAGCCUAUGGCAGCUGGCUUCUCAGUUGUAAGACACCUGCCGCCCUGGCCCCUGACGUUAGGGAUCUGCAACAAUAAAGGCUGUCGGGUUAAAAAGAGACA